CUUUAUAGUGCAGGGACACUGGUACAUGAGAUCCUUUGGGCACCCCCCUCCAUUCCCAGAGGGGAGCACAUGUAAAAACACUUGGAGGUACUAAAUUUAAUACGCAUUAUGAAAAGUAUCUUAAUGCACAUCUGGAUGUGCUCACUGUGGAGUGAGUUAGUAGAAAUAGGAUGAAAUUUAACAGUGCCAAGUCUGAAAAGUACAAAGUGAAACACUGAAUAUGAAUACGCUCAGAAUGAAAAUUAGAAGAAAGUUUCUAUUACUCAGAGAUAUGACAUGGAACCUAACUUGCUUCAAGAUGGAGCUUCAUAAGUUCAUGGAAAGGACAGUAUGGCAGGAUGGCAAUGGUCCUACAGCUGGAAAUUACAGCUUGUGAUAUGAGGUUGUGGGCAUUUCAACUUUUGGGAUCCCCGAGAGGGUGUUGAAAGGUGACAUACUGGAUGAAGCUGUUGCAUAUAAAGGAGGAGCCUAGCUAUACUGGGCUUUUUGACUUUCCAAUGGUUUGGCAUCAGACAUUGAAAGUAGAAAAAUUAGUCUGAAGUCAAGAUGCCUUUUUUGGUGAUUGUGGGAAGUAGAGCACUGGGAAUACUAGGCUUUCUAGUAGCUCAGGAUCAGGUGAACUUUUAGUAGUUCAGAGCCUCAGGGGCU